GGCUGGUCCCAAGGCAGCGAGUUCUCUCCACUGAAUGUUCAAUCAGCUACAGAGAGGACCUCUUGUCCCACUGUCCCUUUCUUCUUACUGCACUUGACUAGUCUUUA
ensembl:misc_RNA Y_RNA Y RNA